rnacentral:rRNA from 1 species
ACGCUCGACACCUACGGGAGCAGCAGUCGGGAAUAUUGCGCAAUGGAGGAAACUCUGACGCAGUGACGCCGCGUAUAGGAAGAAGGUUUUCGGAUUGUAAACUAUUGUCGUUAGGGAAGAGAAAGGACAGUACCUAAGGAGGAAGCUCCGGCUAACUACGUGCCAGCAGCCACGGUAAUCUGAGCGGGCUGGCAAGGC